rnacentral:rRNA from 1 species
CACGUAGGGCGCAAGCGUUGUCCGGAAUUAUUGGGCGUAAAGAGCUCGUAGGCGGUCUGUUGCGUCCGCUGUGAAAACUCGGGGCUUAACCCCGAGCCUGCAGUGGAUACGGGCAGACUAGAGGUAGGUAGGGGAGAAUGGAAUUCCCGGUGUAGCGGUGAAAUGCGCAGAUAUCAGGAGGAACACCGGUGGCGAAGGCGGAUCUCUGGGCCUUACCUGACGCUGAGGCGCGAAAGCUAGGGGAGCGAACAGG